CGCUGUAGGCGGCUUUUUGGAGUUCGAGGGGAGGAUGGACUUUGGAAAGCGAUCGGGUCAAGCGUGGCGAACGGUUGAACAACACCAACGAUGGCGCUUGC
rnacentral:snRNA from 11 species